GAUUCUGGAGCGCCGCGGCAUGGACGUUCUGCUGUGUCGCGAAUGCGCUGCAAUGAAUGGGUAAAAAUCGACCAACUCUCGAAAAGCUUCUAACCUGCGGAGUUGUUCUUUGUACAUGGUGUUGGAUUCCAGAGCUUCUGCGAGCUCUGUCUCGAGGCUUGCUACUCUCUCCAGUGUGCUCCCCCACUUGGAGCUCUCUUUGAAUCUAGUGAGCUUCUCUUGGAGCUGAGCGUUCACCUGGAAUGAUCGAUAGCAAAGUAAGUUUUUCUCGCCCAGAGAAUUGAUGUCCACUUGCCUGCUGCAUUCUCUGGAGCUCCUUUUGUAGUAGCUCCUGCGAGCUUGGAAAGUUGGCCUCCUGCAUGAAACUUCGAUUAGAAACUGGAGAGUUUUUUGUUUUGCCUCAACCUCAUCUUUUUGUUGUUGCUGUUGCUGUUCGUCGGUUUUCUUGAUCGAGUUGGAAUUAACUUCCUUUUGCCUUGCAGCAACCUCUCGUUUCAAGCUCUCGGAUUCAGCAGCCUUUAGCUUCAGCUCCACCUGUUCCAAUCCAGUUAUAGAGCUUGAACGACGCGAAAGGACAGACAUCCAAAGAAGAGAACAUAGAGGACGACAUUGGAAAACUGAGUAAAACUGGACCAACUAGAAACUGAGAAACUUGGACGAAAGAUCGGAAACUUGGA
rnacentral:lncRNA from 1 species